UUAAAAAAAAAAAAAAAAGAACCUUUAAAAAAAGCUCUCCUUCUCCAAUCGUCCGGCCUAGGUCCAGUCACCGGCCACCGCACCGGCCGCCGAUCUCCGGCGUCGGCACCGCCGUCUGCGGUGGCCGAAAAAGGAGAAAAUCUUCUAUUCUAUCCCUUUGAAGCCCCUAAACCUAGAUCUGGACCCGAAACCCACAAAACAUUGCUGUAAGAGCCUCAAAUCUCCGAGAAACCUUUCGGUUUCCGACCGUUCACGGCGGUUCUGGAUACCACUCAGGUGAAGAUUGCGUGGAGAUUCGGCCUGUGUGGAAGAUUGGAGUUGCGGCGACCGAAGUUUAGAAACCCUAGGGUUUUUCAUCUAUUUUGGGCCGUUGUAUUCGGGCCUCGGUUCAUUUUGGGUCUUACGGACACAUUUGUAUUUUGGGCCUUUUACCCGGGCCAAAAUCGGGUAUUACAGCUGCCCCUCUUUGCUCGUUAUCGUGUAAUAGGGACGGAGCAAAGACUUAAAAAUGCCCGAUUUGGCCCGGUCGUGCUGGACCUUGGUACUCUUCUUCUUCAAGUAGCCUCAUUCUCUUUUACUGCAUCUUUAGAGGUAUAGGAACUAGUGCCUCAGUCUACUCCACUGCAAUUUCAGGGAGAUAAGACUAGAUGCGAACAACAAAGGUUGCCUUCAAAGAAUACUUUUUUCCACUUUCCUAAACGUAAGCGACUUGUCUGUUUGUUUCCGAAGAAAAAGAAAAGUUGGAAAUUUAAAUGAACAAUUCACAGAUUACGCA